UCGGAAAUGCUGGGCGGUGGCGGGUACCCGCCCGCCCGGCUUCGCCCCGGUCGGGGCUUAACCUGGGGGAAACCCUGGGCGCGCCGCCCCCCAGCGCAGGUCUCGGUUUUCCGGCCCGUGUAGUGGGCCGGGGCCGUGCGCGCCGGGCCCAGAAACCGACAUUUCGUCAGUACGCACUGCUAAGCGCCUACUAUGUGCACAGACGCGAAUGGAAGGCGGCGGGCCGGGGGCCAAGGACCGAGCGCUUGAUCUUGCAGCUGGCUCCUGACUUGACCUCUGCUUCUUGGGACUUGAGCUAGCAGCUUACCUGCCAAUCUUGGGAUUUGUCAGCCUCUACAGGCUGUGAGCCAGUGGCCUGCCAUCUUACGUGCCGAUCUUGGGAUUUGUCAGCCUCUGCAUCCUGUGAGUCAGUGCCCUGGUGUCUGAUCUGCCUAUCUUGGUUUCAUCAGCCUCUGCAGCUAUGUGAGUCAGGAUAAGCCUCCAGCCUAACCAACCUACUUGGAACUUUCUGUCCUCUACAGCCAUGUGAGGCAUUUCCUUGAUAUAAAUCUCUCUGUCUGUCUCUAUACACUUUGCUGAUAUUGCUUCUCUAGGGAACCCACCCUAAGACAAUCAAUGACUAAGGUGUGCCUAACCUAAGCCAUGGUCUUUUCAAUCAUCCCAUAUGCAUACAAAAGCUGGACAUUGAAAAAGGAAGGUAGAAUUGAUGCAUUCUAAUUGUGCUGGGGAAGAAUGGAAAAUAUUGAGUAUUCCAUGGACUGCCAGAAAAACAAACAAAUCCGUCUUAGAAAAAAUAUAACCAGAGUGCUUCUUAGAAGUGAGGAUGGAGAGACUUUGUCUUGAUUACUUUGAACAUGUCAUCUAGAAAAGGACAUCAUGUUUGUUAAAGCAGAGGGUCAACGAAAAUGAGAAAAACCCACAAUGAGAUGGAUUUAUACAAUGGUCUCAAUAAUGAGCUCAAACAUAUUAAAGAUCAUGGAGAUGGCGCAAUGUUUCAUUCUGUUAUGCGUAAGGUCACCAUAUGAUUGGGCACCGACUUCAUAGCAACUAACAGCAACAACAAUUGUUAUCAUUAGCUUUGAGCCCCUAGAUCAAACCUUAGCUGAUCUUUCACCUUCCGCAUGGUAUCAGACUGGGACUGUGCUCCAUAGGGUUUUCAAUGACUGAUUUUCAGAAGUAGAUUGCCAGAUCUUUCUUCUGAAGUGCCUCUGGGUGGACUUGAACCUCCAACCUUUCAGUUAGCAGCCGAUCAUGUUAACUGUUUGGUACGUUUUGGGUACGGAGAAUACCUGGAAAGAAAUUCCACAGGAAUUUCUACUAGAAGUAGAUUGCCAGGCCUUUCUUCCAAGGCUCCUCUGGGUGGACUCCGGGCCAGUCACUAGCAGGAGGAUGAGAUUACCCUUUGGCCCAUCAGUCCCUCCUAAGAAGCUGGAGAGGGGAUCAUGUCCCUGAGACCCCUGGCUGCCUGGGGGAGAGGUAGACACUUGAACAAAACUAGGGGUGAGGGCCAGGAUGGUUGCUGAGAGGCAACAGACAACAGGGGCAAUUCCUAACCCCAUGGCAACUGGUUUGGUUUAGUUUAGUUUUUUAUACAUAAUUGGGGAGUCACUGGCUGGUAUAAACAAUUAAGUGCUUGGCUACUAACAGAAAUGUUGGCUGGAGUCCACCCAGAGAAGCCUUGGAAGAAAGGCCUGGCGAUCUACUUCUGAUAGAAAUUCUUGUGGAAUUUCUUUCCAGGCAUUCUUUUUUUUUCUCUCUCUCUCUUUU